UCCGACCAUAUCAUGUUGAAACACCAAUUCCGCUACGUUCACCGAUGUUAAGCAAAGUCGAAUCUGGUCAGUACUUAGAUGGGUGACCGCUUGAGAAUAUCAGGUACUGUAA